GACGAACGCUGGCGGCGUGCCUAAUACAUGCAAGUCGAGCGAAUGACGAGAAGCUUGCUUCUCUGAUUUAGCGGCGGACGGGUGAGUAACACGUGGGCAACCUGCCCUACAGAUUGGGAUAACUCAGGGAAACCUGGGCUAAUACCGAAUAAUCCUUCGAAUCACAUGUUUUGAAGUUGAAAGGCGCUUCGGCGUCACUGUAGGAUGGGCCCGCGGUGCAUUAGCUAGUUGGUGGGGUAACGGCCUACCAAGGCAACGAUGCAUAGCCGACCUGGGAGGGGGAUCGGCCACAUUGGGACUGAGACACGGCCCAAACUCCUACGGGAGGCAGCAGUAGGGAAUCUUCCACAAUGGACGAAAGUCUGAUGGAGCAACGCCGCGUGAGUGAUGAAGGUUUUCGGAUCGUAAAACUCUGUUGUAAGGGAAGAACAAGUACGUUAGGAAAUGAACGUACCUUGACGGUACCUUAUUAGAAAGCCACGGCUAACUACGUGCCAGCCGCCGCGGUAA
rnacentral:rRNA from 1 species